rnacentral:rRNA from 1 species
AUACAGAGGGUGCGAGCGUUAAUCGGAAUUACUGGGCGUAAAGCGCACGUAGGCGGAUACUUAAGUCAGAUGUGAAAUCCCCGGGCUCAACCUGGGAACUGCAUCUGAUACUGGGUAGCUAGAGUUUUGGAGAGGGAAGUAGAAUUUCAGGUGUAGCGGUGAAAUGCAUAGAGAUCUGAAGGAAUACCAGUGGCGAAGGCGACUUCCUGGCCAAAAACUGACGCUGAGGUGCGAAAGCGUGGGUAGCAAACGGGAUUAGAAACCCUAGUAGUCC